rnacentral:rRNA from 1 species
ACACAUGCAGUCGAACGAUGAAGCCUAGCUUGCUAGGUGGAUUAGUGGCGAACGGGUGAGUAAUACGUGAGUACCUACCUUUGACUCUGGGAUAAGCCUGGGAAACUGGGUCUAAUACCGGAUACGACCAAUCUCCGCAUGGGUGUUGGUGGAAAGCGUUAUGGAGUGGUUUUAGAUGGGCUCACGGCCUAUCAGCUUGUUGGUGAGGUAAUGGCUUACCAAGGCGACGACGGGUAGCCGGCCUGAGAGGGUGACCGGCCACACUGGGACUGAGACACGGCCCAGACUCCUACGGGAGGCAGCAGUGGGGAAUAUUGCACAAUGGGCGCAAGCCUGAUGCAGCGCCGCCGCGGAGGAUGAGGCCCUUCGGGUUGUAACCCUCUGUAAGCAUCAAGAGCAAAAGUACGGNRGGGGCGGAGAAACCGCC